UUCAAGUUAAUUUCCGAUGACGUUUUGGAAAUGAUUUCGUGGUCGUGGACACGAGUACGAAGCUUAGAGGAGUGUGGAAUUAGUUCGAACGAUUUUAUUUUGAAAACUGAACGUUUUAGGGGGGUCAAAGGAGUUGACUUUUUAUACAUUGGGAAAUUGGGAAAACUUCCUUCAUGAAAGUUGUAGAGCGCGUCGAUACGAGUUCGUGGACAUAUGGAACGUAAUAUUCGGAGUUCGUAUGAAUAAGUUACGAAUAUUUGAAAAUUGGGAUUUUCUAUAAAUAUGAAAAAAAAUCCGAAUAUUGCAAAUGAGGACAGAAUUUCUGGAACUCCAGAAAUUUCUCCCCAUUUCUCUCCCGAGCCCAGCCGCGACCCCCUCCCUUCGUCACCUUCGUUCUUCCUCAUCCGGCCACCGAUUGAUGUGAAACAAAGUGGGUUUUUCUGGUCUCGACCCCCUUUACGAGUUUGUAGAAGAAAUCGAAGUGAAAUACGAGCUGUAUGAGGCUCUACAAGGUCGAGAAGAGAGCCUCGUCGGAGACGAAAUCGCUCUUCCCCACUUUUUCUGGGCUCUACUUUGUCUGGCCAUAUCUUCCUUUACAGGCCUCCGAUCGGCCUGAUUCCAAAAGCAAUUUUUCUCACCGUGAAGUUUUCUACAACUUUCCAGAAGACAUCGACUUGAGAUAACCAUCGUGGUGGCCGCUAGAAGACCGAGAAGCCGCACAGCCGAGCUGGAAAUCGUCUUCCUUCGCCACCUUGGUUCUCCCAGCUCCGGCCACUAUAGCUCGAGUUCUUUGAGGGUUUUUCUAGCCCAGAGGAAGUAGAAGCUAUCCCCAAGAAGGCUUGCAGCGAUUUGAUCCGGGGUGAUCGAAUUUUGAAGAUUGGGAAACUAGGGUUCUUCGGGUUUCAAAACUUGCGAGGUGAUUGACGGUCUCCCUUGGGUGAACGAUUUCGGUGUGUAUUGUGUUGAAUUGAAGACGCAGCGGGAAUAUCGAGCGGGUAAUCCUGCAGGUCAGGAGAAUCAGGACGGUGAUCGUGCGGGUUAGAGAAUUUGUUUUAGUUUUACAGCAAUUGUAAUUGUGAGGUGAGUUAUGCUCAUUUGAGCCUUACAAUAUAAUUUGGUGAGAGUGUGCUGUAAUAAACAAAUUUGAGAUUUGGUUUAUGUAAUAUCGAGCGAUGUGAGGUGUGGUUGUUUUGAGAAAAAAAAAUUCAGGUUGUAUUUAUGUGAGUUGUAUUAAUUCAUGUUUCGGAUUUUGAUUUGUAUUUAAAAUUCGGGGCGUGACAGUUUGGUAUCAGAGCGUAAGGUACAUAUUUGGUGAUAAUCAGUACUCCCCGAGUGAUGGCCCGUCUGCAGCGGAUCCCCAUCGUAUACUCUUCGGUACUGGUAUAAUCAUUGGGUAUGUCUUAGUAUGGGGUCUAGACAGCGUGUAUGUCAGUAGGACGGUAGAGUUGUCUUCUAAGUUCGUAUUAGAAUAAGUUUAGUUUCCGCAGGUUGUAAUCUUUGAGGAAUGGAAACCUCCGGAUUUAACUCUGAUGAGUCAGUGAGGAUUGUUUAUGGAAAUGAGUUUCCUUUUGUAUGUAGAAGUGUUUGGUUGAAGGCAUGGUGUGGACCUAUGCUCGUAUCUGAUGUGGAUACGAGUAUUAAUUGAUAGUAAUUUUGCCUUCUUAAGUUGGACAUACAGAUGCAUUUGAAUAGAU